rnacentral:rRNA from 1 species
GGAGGUAGUGACAAUAAAUCACAAUGCGGAACUUUUAGUUUUGCAAUUGGAUUGAGAACAAUGUACAAAUGUUAUCGAUAAACAAUUGGAGGGCAAGUCUGGUGCCAGCAGCCGCGGUAAUUCCAGCUCCAAUAGCGUAUAUUAACGUUGUUGCAGUUAAAGAGCUCGUAGUUGAAAUGUGGGAUGAAGUAUAUAAUGAAUUUCUAAUUCAAUUGUAUAUUGAUUCCCCUCUCCAAUUUAUAAUUAUGGGUAUUAAUUUAUUUGUAAUAAGAAUUGGUCAUUUACUGUGAGAAAAUUAGAGUGUUCAAAGCAGGCAUUUGCUUGAAUAGAUUAGCAUGGAAUAAUACUAAAAGGCUUUUAUGGUCGAUUUAAUUGGUUUGUUCAUAAAAGCAAGAUUAAAAGGAACAGUUGGGGGUAUUCAUAUUCAAUAGUUAGAGGUGAAAUUCUCGGAUUUAUGGAAGAUGAACAAGUGCGAAAGCA